GAUGAAGAACGUAGCGAAAUGCGAUAAGUAAUGUGAAUUGCAGAAUUCAGUGAAUCAUCGAAUCUUUGAACGCACAUUGCGCCCGCCAGUAUUCUGGCGGGCAUGCCUGUUCGAGCGUCAUUACAACCCUCAGGCCCCCGGGCCUGGCGUUGGGGAUCGGCGGAAGCCCCCUGCGGGCACAACGCCGUCCCCCAAAUACAGUGGCGGUCCCGCCGCAGCUUCCAUUGCGUAGUAGCUAACACCUCGCAACUGGAGAGCGGCGCGGCCACGCCGUAAAACACCCAACUUUCUCAGGUUGACCUCAGAUCAGGUAGGAAUACCCGCUGAACUUAAGCAUAUCAAUAAGCGGAGGA
rnacentral:misc_RNA from 1 species